rnacentral:rRNA from 1 species
UUGGAGGGCAAGUCUGGUGCCAGCAGCCGCGGUAAUUCCAGCUCCAAUAGCGUAUAUUAAAGUUGUUGCAGUUAAAAAGCUCGUAGUUGAACUUCGGGGUCUACCCAUUGGUCAGGCUUAAUUGUCUGCACUGGUGAGAUGGAUCUCUACCUUCUGAGGAACUUUCAUGCCAUUUAUUUGGUGUGAUGGGAAAUCAGGACUGUUACUUUGAAAAAAUUAGAGUGUUUAAAGCAGACUAUCGUCUGAAUACAUUAGCAUGGAAUAAUGAAAUAGGACGGACUGAUUCUAUUUCGUUGGUUUCUAGGAUCACCGUAAUGAUUAAUAGGGAUAGUUGGGGGCAUUAGUAUUCAAUUGUCAGAGGUGAAAUUCUUGGAUUUAUUGAAGACUAACUACUGCGAAAGCAUUUGCCAAGGAUGUUUUCAUUAAUCAAGAACGAAAGUUAGGGGAUCGAAGACGGUCAGAUACCGUCGUAGUCUUAACCAUAAACUAUGCCGACUAGGGAUCGGACGAAGUUAAUUUUAUAAUGACGCGUUCGGCGCCUUACGGGAAAC